CCCGAAUAAUUUUUCAAAUAUGUUUCCAAACGACAGAAUGUUCAAAACGAUUGUUCUCCCAUGUAGGCAGUAGGCACUGGAAGUGUUAUGAAUAUUUGAAGAAGCUGAAAUAUUAUUGGACAAAAAUCUGGAUUAGUUUGGAAGUAUACUUCAGUAGCAUUUUUGUUCUUGAGUUCGGAAGAUGUUAAAUUUAAACAUUUAAUGUACCACAAAUCUAAUUUUCUGUUUAAUAUAUGAU